rnacentral:misc_RNA from 1 species
GACUAUUUUAAUAGUAUAUUAAAAUAUUUAAUUAAUGACGACAGCGCCUUAUAUUUAGUUCGUCCAUACCUUCUAAUUUAUUUCUUUCAUCGAGGUUCAUUGGUCAAGCUUCAUGUAUAAUACGGUCAAUUUCAUUGGUCAUCAUUACGUAUUUAAGAGGCCCGCCGGGGUUUUCGCGCCAAUUAGUAGUUUCUUUGUCAGAAGUGUCACAAGCAGAAAAGUUUUAUAGUAGUAGUUAAUCAAAUUAAGAAAAAAUUAUAAAGGAUUUUUAACUGGUUGCAUUUAUAAAACGAAGAUAAUGUAGUACAAAACAGGAGGAAAUUGUGGAGUGUUAUUUAGGGAACGAACAUUGAUGUCCCAAGAACUGUAAGAACUUUUGUUUUAAAUUUGUACGUUGUGCAAUAUCUGUUGAAAAGCACUCAACGAUGAAUAGUGAUAAGUUGAGAAAAGGCACCAGAAAAGAUUAUAAACGUAUGCAAGAAGGCACCGCAGAAGACGAGUUGUCGUCUAGCAGUAUGCAAAUGGCUACCGGCGAAAACGAAGGACGGGCCUUACCGGCUUUUACAUCACCAGGAAAAAUCGGUUUGAUAGAAGAAAUUCCUGAAGGUCCAGAAAUCGCUUCAGGAUAUGAAUCUGACGAUGCGGAGACGAUGAAAAAAGAACUAGCGCUAUUAGAGCAAGAAGAGAGUAGACUGCGAAAGUUGAACGAGAAGGCAGUGCUACGCCAGAAACUGGAGGAGAAACGAGCGGAAGUGAAGAAAUUACAAGGUUUGUCAAUUUCUAAACACAUUAACGUUCCAGAUAUCAGUGUCAGCUCCAGUAAAUUAACUUUAAACGACUUGAGACAAUCUAAACCUCUUAAAAAGAUAGUCAAGAAAGAAAAUCAGGCCUUAGGCUUAGACGAGACAAGUGAGAGUGACACUGAUUCGGACAGUUCAAGUAGUUCGGACAGUACAACAUCUAGUGGUGAAGAAGAAACAGAAAGUAUGCAAGUGGGUACAGUUAAUGUUAAGAAAAAUAAGAAAAAGAAAAAACAUAAAAAACACUCAAAAAAAUCUGGUAUUGCAAUAAAAUCAUCAGAUAAAGUAAAAAAUCGGCAAAAAUAUCCACAUUCGCAGUUACGUUAUGAGUUUGUCAACCAACACAUGUCUUUUCACAGUUUAGAUUUACAUUUAUUUGUAGCAGGGGAACUUGAAAUAAUUUCUGACAAAAAGAUAAAGACUGAAGAGAAAGCUGGUCGUCUUGCACUUCUUAAAAGAAUGAUGUAUUUACAUGCUACACAUGAUUUUAAGCUGUUAAAAUCAUAUUAUGCAGCAGUAUUAAGAGAAAUAGAGCUAGGAAGUAAGUCAUGGGCAGAUGAUUUUACGUAUUUAGAGAUUGUUAUACUAAAUAAUAGCUCUUCAGCAAACAAGGGCUUCAUACAUCAGAGCGCCAGGCUCCAAAAAACUCAAAUGUCAGCCGCAAACAAAAGUCCGAAACAAUCAAUCGAACAAAACGAAGAGGCUCAAGUCUGGUUUUGCUCGCUUUAUCAGCGAAAUAGAUGUAAUCACAAAAAUGCUCAUACUACAGUAGUUAAAGGUAAACUUAAGUAUGCUCAGCAUAUUUGUGCUACAUGCUGGCAAAAGGACAAGGUUAAAUUACAACAUCCUGAAAGCUCCACAUCUUGCCCACAUACUUUAGCCUGACUUGGUCAAUUAGAUAUACAAAUGACAAAGGGGGAUAGUGUAGUAGACAUUUUCUUACCAAAAUAUUGCGUACAAAGAGAAAAACAGAAAGUUGUAUUAAAUAACACAGAGUCUCAUAUAUGCAAUCAUGCGCAAUCCUGUCAAAUUUGCAGUGAAAUAAAACAUUGCAAAUCCUUUGCACAAGUAAAGGAAAAAAUCAGGUUACACGAGACAGUAAAAAAAUCUGGAAAAUAUAAUUUCGAAAAAUGUCGAAUCAGGGUAAAUGAACGUAUUAAUACUAAAUAUAUGCGCACUAUGUUGAAGUUAUUCAGUUAUUCUGAUUUGAUAGUUUGUGAUUUCCUAGAGUUUGGUUUUCCUUUAGGCUUCUCAGGGAAUGAAAAUUCUUUUUCGCCAACCAAAAAUAUUUGGAAGUACAAGAAUUAUAAAGGGGCAAAUGAAUUUCCAAAUGAAAUACAAAAAUAUUUGGUUAAAGAAGCUGAGGCUUCAGCUAUAAUAGGACCAUUUAAAGAUAAUCCAUUUUCAAACAAUUUGCUUAUUUCGCCAUUGAACACAGUACCAAAAAAAUCAAUGGAAAGAAGAAUUAUAUUGGAUUUGAGUAGUAGUACAUCAAAUGCAGUGAAUGAAUUUAUUGACAAAGACUGGUAUCUUGGUGAACCCGUCUCGCUAUUAUAUCCAAAAAUUGAUGAUUUUGUUAGCAUGAUUAUUGCCAAAGGUCAGGGGUCAUUGAUGUAUAAAAAAGAUUUAAAACGAGCAUACAGACAAAUCAGCAUUUGUCCGUCACAAUACAAUUUAGUAUCCUUUGUAUGGAAAAAACAUGUAUUUUGUGAUACAGUUCUUUCAAUGGGUUUACGGAGUGCUGCAGCUAUUUGUCAGAGAGUAACUAAUGCAGUAUCUUUCAUUUUAUUUAACUUAGGAAUAGCAGUACUAAACUAUUUAGACGAUUUUGCUGGUGUAGAGAAACCAAACUUGGCUCAAGCAGCUUAUUUAACUCUUGGGAAAGUUCUUGUACAGUGUGGUAUUGAGGAGUCCUUAGACAAAAGUUGCCCUCCUUCAAAUGUAAUGUCAUUUUUAGGUGUUUUGUUUAAUACACUGAAGAUGACUAUGGAAAUAACCCCAGAACGUCUGCAAGAAAUUAUGCAGUUGGUUACGGCUUGGUCAGACAAAUCGAAAGCAUCAUUAAAAGAAAUACAGUCAUUGUUAGGAAAGCUAAAUUUUAUAGGAGCUUGUGUCAAAUCUAGUAGGGUGUUUAUAAGUAGAAUGUUAAACUGGUUGAGAGAAUUGCAUGGAUCGGAAAAAAGUAGUUCACAUGAUAUUCCAGUUGAAGUUAGGAAAGACUUGUUGUGGUGGAAUUGUUUUUUACCAUUAUAUAACGGUGUCUCCUUGAUGUCUUUAGGCUCCUGGUCUGAACCUGAUGCAGUCUUUUCAUCAGAUUCUUGUUUAGAAGCAUGUGGCGGGUUCUGGAAAGGUCACUUUUUUCACAAACGUUUCCCUGAGCACAUUUUGCAGAGAAAUUUGCAUAUUAGCAGUUUAGAAAUGUUAUCUCUGGUAGUUUGUAUACAUUUAUGGGGAAAAUAUUUCAAGCAUAACAAAAUGCUUGUACUUUGUGAUAAUCAGUCAGUGUGUAUUACUUUAAAUACAGGGAAAGCACGUUGCCCUUUCUUACAAUCUUGCCUAAGAGAAAUAUGUUUUUGUGCAGCUGUUAAUGAAUUUGAAAUUAAAGCUCAGUUUUUACCAUCUCAGGAAAAUCGCAUUGCAGACCAUUUAUCUAGAUGGCAUUUAGACCAAAUGCAUGAGGAGCAAUUCAGACAGUUGACUCAAGGCUUUGAUUUGUUAGAAUGGGAAGUCUAUGAGUCAGACUUCAAAUUUUUGAAUGACUGGUAACUCCGUCUUACCUAUCAUGGUGUGUUUAUCUUGACAGAUGAGAAGUUCAGUUUCUGUGAUUUUAACCUGUUUUUAGUUUUAUUUUGUUUGUCGAUUGUAUGAUUGAUGUAUAUUUUCAGAAUCUCAGCUGACUGUUCUGAAGAAAGAUUUAAAAGAUACAAACAAAAGGGCUUAUGCCGAGGGUUCAAGAAGGAACCUUAAAAUUCAAUGGGAAUCAUUUAUGUUGUUCUGUACUUAUUUCAGUCUGAAUUAUUUACCAGCCAGUACAACUACACUUCAACUUUACACACAGUUUCUCAGUAGAUCUUUUAAAUCUACUGAUAGUAUUAAGAAUUAUAUCAGUGGAGUCAGAACUAUACACUUGUUAUUAGGGUACAGUGUUGAUCACUUAAAUUCCUUUUUAAUAAAUUUGUCGUUAAAAGGCAUAGCAAAGUUUAAUCUGCAUAUGGUCAAAAGGGCUGAACCAAUGACUCCAGAUAUUUUAGAAAAAAUUUACACGGUGUUAGAUUUUUCUUGUACAGAUAAUCUGGUUUACUGGUGUUUAUUCUUGUUUGCAUUUUUUCUUAUGACAAGAAAAUCAAACUUGGUCCCUACUCAUACAAAAGAUUUAAUUAAACCUAAAUUUCUUUUAAGAAAAGAUGUGGAAAGAUCUGGAAUGAAUUUAAUAGUCCAUAUGAAAUGGACAAAGACCAUUCAAGCGGGUGAAAGAGAAUUAUUGACUCCUUUAACUGUCAUACCAGAUUCAGUCUUGUGCCCAGUUAAGGCAUUCAAUGAAAUGGUUGAAAAAAUACCAGCCUCAGGUGGGUCUCCACUUUUCAUUUUAAGGUCAGGCAAAGUUGUUUCCUACAAUUUAUUUCUAUCAAAGUUAAGGUCUGUAAUUAAGGAUAUUGAGUUAGAUCCAAAACAGUUUUCAACUCAUUCCUUUAGAAGAGGUUUAGCAACUCUAGCCUUCAGACUUGACAUUCCAGCAGAUCUCAUUCAGCUUAUGGGAGACUGGCGUUCUGAUGCGUAUAAGAAUUACAUUCAAUAUUCUCUUUGUGACAAAGUUAAAGUUUCACAGUUUAUAAGUCAGAAUAUUAAGAAGCAUCAUAAAUAGGAAAUAAUUUAGUUAAAAGCAGUAUGUGAUCUGACAUCAGAAAAUUAUUAUAUGGAAUUUCCGUCUUACAGAGGAAAUGUUCUGGUGAUCAGUUGAAAGUGUUAACCUAUUUUACAUUAUGUCCGCAUAAAGUGUGUUUGACACAUUGGGUAAUUUAAAUAUAAAGAAUUUGAUAAAUAACUUUUCAUAAUAGCCUAGAGAAAAUUGCUCUGCUACUUACAUUUUCUUACAAUCUGUUUCUUAUGUUCAACUUGUGGGGAAUUUCUGUCUUAACAGAGGAAAUUUUCUGUGGUCAGUUGGAUGUUUUAACCUUCUGCGCAGAGUUUUCCUCGUUAGAUGAUUAUAAGUAAAUGAGGAUUGUUAAAGAUAGAUUCAUUAACAUUUGAAAGUAGGUAGUAAAAUUUUGUUGAAUAGUUGAUCAUACUCAUUAUUGUGUUAUAUAUGAAUAAUCUUAUGUACAUAUUCAUAUUAUACUUUUACUAAAAUAUACCUUUCUCAUUGCAGAUGUUGUUCGAAGAGUCGUUAUAUUAGGAGAUUCAAUUGUAAAGUUUUUACCACCGAUCGAGGGAGUUACUGUGCAGUCCUUUCCAGGAGCUACAGUUGAUUUCACAGUCUCAAGUCAUUGUUAUUAAGGUAAAGAAGAACUGUUUCUUAAGUUAUUGUUUUGCUUUUGCUUUGUUUUAUUGGCUGUUAUUUGGCGGGUGUUAAUGGAAUUUGGACAGUUUAGUUAAACACUUGAACUUUACCUUACAAAUGGAUUCCAUUUCCAUAAGUUGAACUUGUGAUUAUUACUAAGUAAGCAGUUGUAGCUUAUUUAUAAUCUGUCUUUGUUUAUUGAAUCAUUUGAUCAAAUAUA